rnacentral:lncRNA from 1 species
GGGCAGAAGGUCUGAGCCCUGUGGGCUCUGUAGACACUUGGUGUCCCCUGGCCACCAUUGAGUCCUCACCAUCUGCUCAGGGUGACAGAGAGAAUGACAACAUACAUUUAAGAGGGAGCAAAGAGACGGGGAGGGUGGGUGCGCCAUCUUCCUUUCCUGGGUCAGGGGCCUGGGCGGAUGGUCAGGGCCCCCUGGGGGGUCCUGAGUGCCCAGCCACCCUUGUUCAUUUUUGAACAGUGUCCCAAUCACACAAAGAAAGACAAACACUAGGGAUCUGUGCAUGCCCCCCUCACAAAUCCACCCCAUGCACAGCCUGGGCCCAGCCCGCAGCCCUCCAGGGCUGCCAGGAGGCCCUGCAUGUCCACAGCCCCGCCUCUCCUCUUCCUCAAAUACAGCAGAGCUUGUAGAACCAGGGGUCAGUUGGCUCCUCUUGCCAGGAGCAAAGGAGAGGGUCAGAGAGAGGAGCGGAGCCCAUGAGCGUGGUGGCUUCUUUGACAUCUGACGACCAACCCCUGCUUGGCUGGGGCUGGCCCUUCUUGAGGUCUCUGUUAGGUCCCUUGAGGGACAGGUCAGGUGGAUUGGGUUUUGUUUUUUAAAAUAAAAUUGAUGUUAUAUUGCUG